rnacentral:rRNA from 1 species
CGCGUAGGAAACUGCCUAGUAGUGGGGGAUAGCCCAGAGAAAUUUGGAUUAAUACCGCAUACGCCCUACGGGGGAAAGGGGGCGUUCGGCUCUCGCUAUUAGAUGUGCCUGCGUAAGAUUAGCUUGUUGGUGAGGUAAUGGCUCACCAAGGCGACGAUCUUUAGCUGGUCUGAGAGGAUGAUCAGCCACACUGGAACUGAGACACGGCCCAGACUCCUACGGGAGGCAGCAGUGGGGAAUUUUCCGCAAUGGGCGAAAGCCUGACGGAGCAACGCCGCGUGAGGGAUGAAGGCCUCUGGG